rnacentral:miRNA from 1 species
UUCAGGUAAUUCAGGUG